GACGAACGCUGGCGGCGUGCCUAAUACAUGCAAGUCGAACGAGAGCGACCGGUGCUUGCACUGGUUAAUCUAGUGGCGAACGGGUGAGUAACACGCGGGUAACCUGCCCAUCAGAGGGGGAUAACAUCCGGAAACGGAUGCUAAAACCGCAUAGGUCUUCGAGCUGCAUGGCUUGAAGAGGAAAAGAGGCGCAAGCUUCUGCUGAUGGAUGGACCCGCGGUGCAUUAGCUAGUUGGUGAGGUAACGGCUCACCAAGGCCGUGAUGCAUAGCCGACCUGAGAGGGUGAUCGGCCACAUUGGGACUGAGACACGGCCCAAACUCCUACGGGAGGCAGCAGUAGGGAAUCUUCCGCAAUGGACGCAAGUCUGACGGAGCAACGCCGCGUGAGUGAAGAAGGUUUUCGGAUCGUAAAACUCUGUUGUUAGAGAAGAACAAGUGCUAGAGUAACUGUUAGCGCCUUGACGGUAUCUAACCAGAAAGCCACGGCUAACUACGUGCCAGCAGCCGCGGUAAUACGUAGGUGGCAAGCGUUGUCCGGAUUUAUUGGGCGUAAAGCGAGCGCAGGCGGUUCCUUAAGUCUGAUGUGAAAGCCCCCGGCUCAACCGGGGAGGGUCAUUGGAAACUGGGGAACUUGAGUGCAGAAGAGGAGAGUGGAAUUCCAUGUGUAGCGGUGAAAUGCGUAGAUAUAUGGAGGAACACCAGUGGCGAAGGCGACUCUCUGGUCUGUAACUGACGCUGAGGCUCGAAAGCGUGGGUAGCAAACAGG
rnacentral:rRNA from 1 species